UUGAAUUCUGCCAGAAAUCGAGCUUUGGUUGAUUUCGCAUAUUCUGGUUUCAUUCGUUUGGAAGUUGAUAUCCUUUAGCUUUCUUAUUCAAUUGAGCUUUAUAUUACUGCUUUGAAUUCUUGUAUGCUCUUGUCCUUAAAAUUAUUUACAUUCUUGAAAACUAUUGUGUAACAUUUAUGCUAUAUCGUAUUGACUCAUAUAGGCACAUGUGUAUCCCAUUGUUCCGCAUUUGCU
rnacentral:lncRNA from 1 species